UACGAAGGGGGCUAGCGUUGCUCGGAAUCACUGGGCGUAAAGGGUGCGUAGGCGGGUCUUUAAGUCAGAGGUGAAAUCCUGGAGCUCAACUCCAGAACUGCCUUUGAUACUGAGGAUCUUGAGUAUGGGAGAGGUGAGUGGAACUGCGAGUGUAGAGGUGAAAUUCGUAGAUAUUCGCAAGAACACCAGUGGCGAAGGCGGCCCACUGGCCCAUUACUGACGCUGAGGCACGAAAGCGUGGGGAGCAAACAGG
rnacentral:rRNA from 1 species